UACGGGGGGGGCAAGCGUUGUUCGGAAUUACUGGGCGUAAAGGGCUCGUAGGUGGCCAACUAAGUCAGACGUGAAAUCCCCAGGCUCAACUUGGGAACUGCGUCUGAUACUGGAUGGCUUGAAUUCGGGAGAGGGAUGCAGAAUUCCAGGUGUAGCGGUGAAAUGCGUAGAUACUGGGAGGAACACCAGUGGCGAAGGCGGCUACCUGGACCGGUUCUGACGCUGAUGCGCGAAAGCGUGGGUAGCAAACAGG
rnacentral:rRNA from 1 species